rnacentral:rRNA from 1 species
UUCCGGUUGAUCCUGCCGGACCUGACUGCUAUCGGAUUGAUACUAAGCCAUGCGAGUCAUUGUAGUAAUACAAGGCAGACGGCUCAGUAACGCGUAGUCGACCUACCCUAUGGACGGGGAUAACCUCGGGAAACUGAGAAUAAUACCCGAUAGAACAUUAUGCCUGGAACGGUUUAUGUUUCAAAUAAUUUAUUGCCGUAGGAUGGGACUGCGGCCUAUCAGUUUGUUGGUGAGGUAAUGGCCCACCAAGACUAUUACAGGUACGGGCUCUGAGAGGAGUAGCCCGGAGAUGGGUACUGAGACACGGACCCAGGCCCUAUGGGGCGCAGCAGGCGAGAAAACUUUGCAAUGUGCGAAAGCACGACAAGGUUAAUCCGAGUGGUUUCUGCUAAAGGAACCUUUUGUCAGUCCUAGAAACACUGAUGAAUAAGGGGUGGGCAAGUUCUGGUGUCAGCCGCCGCGGUAAAACCAGCACCUCAAGUGGUCAGGAUGAUUAUUGGGCCUAAAGCAUCCGUAGCCUGCUUUGUAAGUUUUCGGUUAAAUCCAUACGCUCAACGUAUGGGCUGCCGGGAAUACUGCAAAGCUAGGGAGUGGGAGAGGUAGACGGUACUCGGUAGGAAGGGGUAAAAUCCUUUGAUCUAUUGAUGACCACCUGUGGCGAAGGCGGUCUACCAGAACACGUCCGACGGUGAGGGAUGAAAGCUGGGGGAGCAAACCGGAUUAGAUACCCGGGUAGUCCCAGCUGUAAACUAUGCAAACUCGGUGAUGCAUUGGCUUGAUGCCAAUGCAGUGCCGCAGGGAAGCCGUUAAGUUUGCCGCCUGGGAAGUACGUACGCAAGUAUGAAACUUAAAGGAAUUGGCGGGGGAGCACCACAAGGGUGAAGCCUGCGGUUCAAUUGGAUUCAACGCCCGGAA